UCCUGUGUUGGUUGCCUAAUGUAAGGCAAAUUGACCCUCGAUGAGUCCCUAAUCUUUGCCUCYCACCAAUUCGUGGUGUUAGGUUGACGUGGAAGUACUACCCGUUCUCCUUGAAUGCUUGGCCGAGUGGCCUUGCAUUCAUGGCCCAUGGGCGGCUACAAGUUCCCUCGGAUGCAGAACUUUUGAAGGGUGCAUAGCAUGUGUUGCUGUUGCUUACCCACGGAGCGUUCAUGUCUCGAUGCGUACGACUUCCGUGCUUGCCUUAGUCCUGUCUUUAACUUGUUUGGACGGGGCUCACGCAAUGCCGGUGUCCCGAAGGAAUGCUACCUGGUUGAUCCUGCCAGUAGUCAUAUGCUUGUCUCAA
rnacentral:misc_RNA from 1 species